rnacentral:rRNA from 1 species
ACGAACGCUGGCGGCGUGCCUAAUACAUGCAAGUCGAACGCUUCUUUUUCCACCGGAGCUUGCUCCACCGGAAAAAGAGGAGUGGCGAACGGGUGAGUAACACGUGGGUAACCUGCCCAUCAGAAGGGGAUAACACUUGGAAACAGGUGCUAAUACCGUAUAACAAUCGAAACCGCAUGGUUUUGAUUUGAAAGGCGCUUUCGGGUGUCGCUGAUGGAUGGACCCGCGGUGCAUUAGCUAGUUGGUGAGGUAACGGCUCACCAAGGCGACGAUGCAUAGCCGACCUGAGAGGGUGAUCGGCCACAUUGGGACUGAGACACGGCCCAAACUCCUACGGGAGGCAGCAGUAGGGAAUCUUCGGCAAUGGACGAAAGUCUGACCGAGCAACGCCGCGUGAGUGAAGAAGGUUUUCGGAUCGUAAAACUCUGUUGUUAGAGAAGAACAAGGAUGAGAGUAACUGUUCAUCCCUUGACGGUAUCUAACCAGAAAGCCACGGCUAACUACGUGCCAGCAGCCGCGGUAAUACGUAGGUGGCAAGCGUUGUCCGGAUUUAUUGGGCGUAAAGCGAGCGCAGGCGGUUUCUUAAGUCUGAUGUGAAAGCCCCCGGCUCAACCGGGGAGGGUCAUUGGAAACUGGGAGACUUGAGUGCAGAAGAGGAGAGUGGAAUUCCAUGUGUAGCGGUGAAAUGCGUAGAUAUAUGGAGGAACACCAGUGGCGAAGGCGGCUCUCUGGUCUGUAACUGACGCUGAGGCUCGAAAGCGUGGGGAGCAAACAGGAUUAGAUACCCUGGUAGUCCACGCCGUAAACGAUGAGUGCUAAGUGUUGGAGGGUUUCCGCCCUUCAGUGCUGCAGCUAACGCAUUAAGCACUCCGCCUGGGGAGUACGACCGCAAGGUUGAAACUCAAAGGAAUUGACGGGGGCCCGCACAAGCGGUGGAGCAUGUGGUUUAAUUCGAAGCAACGCGAAGAACCUUACCAAGUCUUGACAUCCCUCUGACCGAUCCGUAACGGGAUCUUUCCUUCGGGACAGGGGAGACAGGUGGUGCAUGGUUGUCGUCAGCUCGUGUCGUGAGAUGUUGGGUUAAGUCCCGCAACGAGCGCAACCCUUACUGUUAGUUGCUACGCAAGAGCACUCUAGCAGGACUGCCGUUGACAAAACGGAGGAAGGUGGGGAUGACGUCAAAUCAUCAUGCCCCUUAUGACCUGGGCUACACACGUGCUACAAUGGGAAGUACAACGAGUCGCAAAGUCGCGAGGCUAAGCUAAUCUCUUAAAGCUUCUCUCAGUUCGGAUUGUAGGCUGCAACUCGCCUACAUGAAGCCGGAAUCGCUAGUAAUCGCGGAUCAGCACGCCGCGGUGAAUACGUUCCCGGGCCUUGUACACACCGCCCGUCACACCACGAGAGUUUGUAACACCCGAAGUCGGUGAGGUAACCUUUUGGAGCCAGCCGCCUAAGGUGGGAUAGAUGAUUGGGGUG